UACGGAGGGGGCUAGCGUUGUUCGGAAUUACUGGGCGUAAAGCGCACGUAGGCGGCUUUGUAAGUUAGAGGUGAAAGCCCGGGGCUCAACUCCGGAAUUGCCUUUAAGACUGCAUCGCUAGAAUUGUGGAGAGGUAAGUGGAAUUCCGAGUGUAGAGGUGAAAUUCGUAGAUAUUCGCAAGAACACCAGUGGCGAAGGCGGCUCACUGGUCCGGUACUGACGCUGAGGUGCGAAAGCGUGGGGAGCGAACAGG
rnacentral:rRNA from 1 species